CUGCAGUCAGCCAGUCAGUCAGUCAGUCAGUCAUUCAGCCAGUCAGCCAGCCAGCCAGCCAAAUGAAUGUGAGUGAUUUCAUUACUGUCGUGUUGCUAGUGGAGCUGGAGACAGCAGCUGCUACAGGAAAUCUGAGGAUUUCUGAGGAAAUACAGGAAGUCUCCAUAAAUUCAGCCAGCUGACAUUUAGGACUACGUAAAUACAUUACUUUGGUUUGAAGAUGAGAAGAAUAGACAUCCAGCGAAGGGAGAUGAAAUAUGGCGUCUGUCUUAGUAAUGCUGCUGUUACAAAUUGUUCAUGCAUGAUGCCAAACCAACGGUAAAGCUCUACUACUAACCAUGAGAAACAACUCAGAACUAACUGUCUGUGUGAUUAAGUUCGUAAUGCGUAGACGGGCAUUUUGUUUCAUCACACUCACAGGUAGGCAUAUUUACCAUAUGUAGGUAUAUUUACCCUAUGUAAGCAUAUUUACCCUAUGUAGGUAUAUUUACCCUAUGUAGGCAUAUUUACCCUAUGUAGGUAUAUAUACCCUAUGUAGGUAUAUUUACAGUAUGUAGGCAUAUUUACCCUAUGUAGGUAUAUUUACCCUAUGUAAGCAUAUUUACCCUAUGUAGGUAUAUUUACCCUAUGUAAGCAUAUUUACCCUAUGUAUGCAUAUUUACCCUAUGUAGGCAUAUUUACCCUAUGUAUGCAUAUUUAACCUAUGUAGGAAUAUUUACCCUAUGUAGGUAUAUUUACCCUAUGUAGGCAUAUUUAACCUAUGUAGGCAUAUUUACCCUAUGUAGGUAUAUUUACCCUAUGUAGGCAUAUUUAACCUAUGUAGGCACAUUUACCCUAUGUAGGCACAUUUACCCUAUGUAGGCACAUUUACCCUAUGUAGGCCAUGGCACAUAUCUUCAAUUCAUCUGCUGUUGUUUUGCGUGUCAGAGACUUGAAAGGCCAAUACGGUUCUGCAGAAAAAGAGUUUCAUUUCCCUGUUCUUUCUGAAACCACUUCAGCACUACUCACCACAAGUUCCUCCUGCAAACGUUACAUGAACCGUAUGGCACUCUGGUACAUCUCUGUCCUCUCAGAAGACACAGCAGCUAUGCAUACUUUGUGUCUCGGCGGGGAAAAUGCACUAGCUAGAAUUUGGGAAUAGCUCUCUGUGGAAGUAAAUUCAUGAAGUUAGAAUUUAUUUGGGCCACACACAGGUUAAGAGUUUGUUGGGUCAAUUCUGUACGAUCGUGG
rnacentral:lncRNA from 1 species